rnacentral:rRNA from 1 species
AUGAAGAGAUUAACUACAACAAAGAGGAGCAAAAAGAAGAGCAUUCAAGGAUCUUUGAACAUGCGACUCAACUGCACAACACAUGAUGAAUCAGAGAAACAACGGGUAGCAGAAUUUGCAGAGUGGAUUCUGAAUAUUGGCGAUGGAACAAAUACAUCAUCAGAAGGUGAGGAAUUGAUAAAAAUACCAAGUGACAUACUACUGGAGAAAGGAAAUGAUCCCAAAAAAACAAUUGUGGAAAGCAUAUAUCCAAAUUUGCAGGAGAGGUAUCGUCAGCGAGAAUUCUUAGAAGAAAGAGCAAUAUUAUGUCCAAGGAACGAAACAGUUCGCGAUAUAAAUGAGUAUAUAAUGGAUCAGCUACAAGCCGGUAUCCUCCACCUCCUUCGCCUUCUGUCCUCUCCAUUUGGUUUCUUGGACGCAAAGGAUAUCAACACCUCUCCUCACCGCUCACAAACAGAACUGUUAUAUCCAACGGAAUUCCUAAACAGCUUAUCGUUCCCUGGAAUCCCAAAUCGCGAGCUAAAAUUAAAAGUUGGCAUACCUGUGAUGCUCCUACGUAAUAUCAACCAAAGUGCUGGGUUAUGCAAUGGUACAAGGCUGACUAUUAUUCAACUUGGAAGAAGAUUCGUCGAAGCACAGAUAAUAACAGGAACACAUGUGGGAGAAAAGGUAUAUAUUCCAAGAAUAGUCAUGUCACCAACUGAAUCAGCGUGGCCGUUCAUUCUAAAAAGGAGACAGUAUCCUAUAUUAAUAUGCUUUGCUAUGACUAUCAACAAAAGCCAGGGCCAGUCUCUAAACAAGGUAGGACUAUAUCUGCCUACACAAGUUUUCACACAUGGACAGCUAUAUGUAGCAUUCUCAAGAGUCACAAAAAGGGAUGGACUGCGCGUAAUGGUAAAUGAUGAAGAUACCAAUGAGGAUGAUGUCGUCAAGAACAUAGUCUAUAAAGAAAUUUUGUAA